UAGGGAAUCUUCCACAAUGGGCGCAAGCCUGGAUGGAGCAACGCCGCGUGAGUGAAGAAGGUCUUCGGAUCGUAAAACUCUGUUGUAGAGAAGAACAUGCAGGAGAGUAACUGUUCUUGUAUUGACGGUAUCUAACCAGAAAGCCACGGCUAACUACGUGCCAG
rnacentral:rRNA from 1 species